CACGUAGUUAGCCGUGGCUUUCUGAUUAGGUACCGUCAAGAUGUGCACAGUUACUUACACAUUUGUUCUUCCCUAAUAACAGAGUUUUACGAGCCGAAACCCUUCAUCACUCACGCGGCGUUGCUCCGUCGGGCUUUCGCCCAUUGCGGAAGAUUCCCUACUGCUGCCUCCCGUAGGAGUCUGGACCGUGUCUCAGUUCCAGUGUGGCCGAUCACCCUCUCAGGUCGGCUACGUAUCGUCGCCUUGGUAAGCCGUUACCUUACCAACUAGCUAAUACGGCGCGGGUCCAUCUAUAAGUGAUAGCAAAACCAUCUUUCACUUUAGAACCAUGCGGUUCUAAAUGUUAUCCGGUAUUAGCUCCGGUUUCCCGAAGUUAUCCCAGUCUUAUAGGUAGGUUACCCACGUGUUACUCACCCGUCCGCCGCUAACUUCAAAGGAGCAAGCUCCUUAUCUGUUCGCUCGACUUGCAUGUAUUAGGCACGCCGCCAGCGUUCAUCCUGAGCCAGGAUCAAACUCU
rnacentral:rRNA from 1 species